AAAGGGUGCGUAGGCGGGCAAUUAAGUCAGUGGUGAAAUCUUGGGGCUCAACCCCGAAACUGCCAUUGAUACUAUUUGUCUUGAAUACUGUGGAGGUUAGCGGAAUAUGUCAUGUAGCGGUGAAAUGCUUAGAUAUGACAUAGAACACCGAUUGCGAAGGCAGCUGGCUACACAAGCAUUGACGCUGAGGCACGAAAGCGUGGGGAUCAAACAGGAUUAGAUACCCUGGU
rnacentral:rRNA from 1 species